GAGAUUUAGUCACGCGGCUGGCGGCCCCGGCUUGGAGUAGAACCACAGGGGACUUCCGGUUUCUCUCGGGUUUGACCGGAACCCAACCUUUGACCCCUCGACCCCCCACUUAUGGGAAGCUUAGCCCCCAGCAGUUUAACAUCCGAACCACCUUUACCUUUUCAGCAGUUUAAUCCAUUCAUUCCUACGUUGCAAGGUUUAUGGAGUCUGUUCUUCCAGUAUUCAAAACCCGCGGGCAGAGUUCUUACCAGAGGCUGAAUUGAAUCAGCCUCCCGGAACCACGGCGAUCCUAGCCCAACAUACCCCAACUGUUUUACAGAUGGGGAAACAGAGGAUCAGAAGGAACAGCUCUCUGGUCCUCAGCUUAUCCAGCUGUCAAAUGAUGGGGUCAUCUGUGAUCUGCCAGAUUCCUUCCAGCUUCCAUUGAUAUACAGAGGUUUUUACUUUCACUAAAAUGCAUUAAUUCAA